rnacentral:rRNA from 1 species
GAUGAACGCUGACAGAAUGCUUAACACAUGCAAGUCAACUUGAAUUUGGGUUUUUAACUUAGGUUUGGGUGGCGGACGGGUGAGUAACGCGUAAAGAACUUGCCUCACAGCUAGGGACAACAUUUGGAAACGAAUGCUAAUACCUAAUAUUAUGAUAAUAGGGCAUCCUAUAAUUAUGAAAGCUAUAAGCGCUGUGAGAGAGCUUUGCGUCCCAUUAGCUAGUUGGAGAGGUAACGGCUCACCAAGGCGAUGAUGGGUAGCCGGCCUGAGAGGGUGACCGGCCACAAGGGGACUGAGACACGGCCCUUACUCCUACGGGAGGCAGCAGUGGGGAAUAUUGGACAAUGGACCAAGAGUCUGAUCCAGCAAUUCUGUGUGCACGAUGAAGUUUUUCGGAAUGUAAAGUGCUUUCAGUUGGGAAGAAAGAAAUGACGGUACCAACAGAAGAAGUGACGGCUAAAUACGUG